ACCAAUCAUAGAUUUUACUCAUAUUCCGGAAAUACAGAAAAAAUAAAUUCCACGGUCGAACUACCAAAAUAGAAUGGGAUAAAACCAGAAAACUAAAUGCAAUGUUUCACUUUGUAUUGAAAAAGCUAGUUAAUGGUUCUUGUAAAUCUAAUUCAUUGAAAUUCCAUCCAGUAAAAUGGACGAAUUAUAAAUCUCCAAAAUAAUAGAUAGAAAUACUGCAAAUAGAGCCAUUGCGAGACCCAUCAAAGG